ACUGAUGAAAUCUUUAGCUGAAGGGCUUCAGUUUAUAUCAUUACCGUGUGAGCUGACUGGACUCAUUCUUUUCAUGACUGAUGGGUUUUUUGCUUUCUCGUUCAACUCUGCAAUAAAAGGAAAAUUCACGGUUUUCUGUGACACAACAGAGCUAUCUCAAGCUGUAUUUAGAGGAAGGAUCCUAGGAUAAAGGUCUAUUUUCUUCUUCCUUUGUAGCAAACUUAUACUUGCAGGAUACUUAAAAGUAUCUCUUAAGGGCUGUUGUUCAACUUCCAAAAUCAUUCUUUCCUUUCUAGCUGCUACAAGAAUUCAUGUGUGUUGUCAGAGAAAGGCUGGAAGGACAAUUUCUAUACAGAUGUCUCUGGUCCAUGUCCUUCAAAAAAGACUGAAAUAUGACGAAUUUCUGGAAUCUUUGCAAUGAAGAAAGUGACGUGGCCUCAUCAUAAAAUGACCACAAGAUCCUUGACCUUGGUGCUUCACAAAUAAUAUGCCUCAUUUAUAGACAAGAACACAGCAAAAACUAUUAAAAUAAAGACUAGGCAUAGAUGUAGCUCAGAAAACAACAAAAAAAUAAUAAAAAUUAAGCAUAACCAUAGCUCAGCGAGGUAGAAUGUUAUCACGAUUUCUUCGAUAAAUAACUGAAUUCUGAAUAUUGGUCUUUAAGAGAACUGUUAUCAGGAAAUAUAGGUGACAGAAAAAUAACAGCUUCUAUUUUGUCAAGUUUGACACUGGCAAAGUGCUUUCACCUAUAUUCUAUCAUCAUUUUGUCUGACCUAACAAUGAUUCCAAGCCUGAUUGAAAGGCCUGUAAACACAAAAUCAGCUUUUGCAAUAGGAAGAUCUCCAUGAGCACUUUUGUAACUUAUUUUAAAAUGGACUUUGGCAGUUUCUUAUGGGUAUAUUUCUGUGCUAUUUUGUGUCAUCUCAGCAAGACUUCCCAAGCAAAGUUAUUCCAAGUAUAAUGUGGGCAAUAGUAAAAGAUUAAAAUUUCUAUGGAUUCAGAAUCUUUUUCAGUCUCAUGUCAGAAAUGAUGUGUGUCCCUAGUCUUCAACUUGGUUUCAGAUUUGCAUGAUCAGCAUUAGCUGAGGAUAGAACUGGGCCUCAUGAUUCCUCGACUAAUUAUGUAGUUUGCCCCCUGUGGUUUGGGCUAAAUUCUACACCCAAGAAAACUAAAAAAUGAACAUUUUAAUGACACUUUUGUGUUCUCUAAACUCUACCAAGUAUUGUGCUUUAUUGAAUUAGACCUUUUUAAAAGACUAAACAUAAUCCAAACAGUGUUCUAUACAUUUUCUCAAAUCCUGAAAUCAUACUUUGGUAAGUUUAUCAAAUUGCUUCAGUAAGUUUUUAAAAGUUUACCUUGAAGUAAAAUGCAAACCUAAUGCUUUUAUUAUUUCUAUUGUCUCAGCACAAACAAAAUACCAAAGCUCUUGAGAAGGGAUUCCCAUGUUAGUGUAAAUGACUCAUCUAGUUUCUUCUAUGAAAUUGAAUAAUAGAGCAAUCUGUAUUUUCAGUUCUCUGCCAGUGGGUUUGAUUAAAAAUUUGAUUCUUGUUUGCUUGCAUCGCCAAAUAGAGUUUUCAGAGAAAAUUAUUGCAAUGCCCACUGUUCUUCUCCAUACAAAGUGAAAGGUUAUGUC
rnacentral:lncRNA from 1 species